GGCUCAGGACGAACGCUGGCGGCGUGCCUAACACAUGCAAGUCGAGCGAGGAGAUCCUUCGGGAUGAUCCUAGCGGCGGACGGGUGAGUAACACGUGGGCAACCUGCCUCAUAGAGAGGAAUAGCCUUCCGAAAGGGAGAUUAAUACCUCAUAACAUUGCAGUUUCGCAUGGAACAGCAAUUUAAAGGAGUAAUCCGCUAUAGAGAUGGGCCCGCGGCGCAGUUAGCUAGUUGGUGAGGUAACGGCUCACCAAGGCGACGAUGCGUAGCCGACCUGAGAGGGUGAUCGGCCACACUUGGGACUGAGACACGGCCCAAACUCCUACGGGAGGCAGCAGUAGGGAAUCUUCCGCAAUGGACGAAAGUCUGACGGAGCAACGCCGCGUGAGUGAAGAAGGUUUUUCGGGAUCGUAAAACUCUGUUGUCAGAGAAGAACAAGUUGGAGAGUAACUGCUCCAGCCUUUGACGGUAUCUGACCAGAAAGCCACGGCUAACUACGUGCCAGCAGCAGC
rnacentral:rRNA from 1 species